rnacentral:rRNA from 1 species
UACGUAGGGGGCAAGCGUUGUUCGGAUUCAUUGGGCGUAAAGGGUGCGUAGGCGGCGCGGUAAGUCGGGUGUGAAUCUCGGAGCUUAACUCCGAACUGCAUUCGAUACUGCCGUGCUUGAGGACUGGAGAGGAGACUGGAAUUUACGGUGUAGCGGUGAAAUGCGUAGAUAUCGUAAGGAAGACCAGUGGACGGAAGGCGGGUCUCUGGACAGUCCUGACGCUGAGGCACGAAGGUCAGGGAGCAAACGGG